rnacentral:rRNA from 1 species
AACGAACGCUGGCGGCAUGCCUAACACAUGCAAGUCGAACGAGACCAAGGCUUCGGCCUGAAGUCUAGUGGCGCACGGGUGCGUAACGCGUGGGAAUCUACCCUUGGGUUCGGAAUAACAGUUAGAAAUGACUGCUAAUACCGGAUGAUGACGUAAGUCCAAAGAUUUAUCGCCCAGGGAUGAGCCCGCGUAAGAUUAGCUUGUUGGUGAGGUAAAGGCUCACCAAGGCGACGAUCUUUAGCUGGUCUGAGAGGAUGAUCAGCCACACUGGGACUGAGACACGGCCCAGACUCCUACGGGAGGCAGCAGUGGGGAAUAUUGGACAAUGGGCGAAAGCCUGAUCCAGCAAUGCCGCGUGAGUGAUGAAGGCCUUAGGGUUGUAAAGCUCUUUUACCCGGGAUGAUAAUGACAGUACCGGGAGAAUAAGCUCCGGCUAACUCCGUGCCA